UCAUAUAUAUUCUAUNUCCCAUUUUUAUGUUUAAUGCAGGCAGGUUGUGAAGGUUGUAAGUUUUAUAAUAUACCGUGCAUCGAAAACUAAAAUUAAUCUGUGGCCAUUGUUAUUUAAAUGUCCGGAAAAUGUGUUUUAGUUAGGUUAUUUGUUUCCCCAGUUUUUUUUUUUUUUUUGAAGUUGUUUUCAUUUAUUUAGUUUUUGUUAACAGUAGCACUCAAUAUCACUGGGGCUAUUCCUUUAAGAAUAGAUUCAGCUGGUCUUAGAUCAGAGGAAAAGAGGGGAUUUUAUCCUGAAUAAUGGUCCUGACAGACUGCUUUUCUUCCCAGGGAGUGCAGUCAUGGCCACUGAAGCGUGCUGUGUUCACCCCCUCAUCGUCUGGCACUUUUUCCCUCCAUCGUUCUAGAGGAAACAGAAUAAAGAAGGGAAGGCGAAGCCAGCUAGAGAAACCAAGCGUGAAGAUGUCCAGAAACUGCUGGCACUGUGGAACACUCGGCAGGUGAGUGUACAGGAACAGGUUGUGAGGAACACACUUUGGCUGAUUGGAGAUCAGGCACCGAGCCCCGUCUGAAGAUGGGAUUGGAUGUGACAUACAGUACACAAGCUGAUGUAAGAACCAUCUCGUUGGAGAGGAAGGUAGAUGAGAUCAAACAGGACUGAAUUACAAUUAGUCCAUGUGUCUUAGUUCUCAAGAUAGUCAUUGUAUAUUAUAGUUCAACCAUCUCAAACAUUUGCUCCAGCAUAUUUUAAUUCAAGAUAAACUCUGAUUUUGUUUUAACAAUUAUGUGCUGAAAUCAUCAGAAAUAGAUUAGUUAUGACUGUAGUUUGUGAAGCUCCGCCGUUUUCUCCAGCAUAAUUUCAGACUGUAAUCAGCAGUGAAAUUGCUCGUAUCAUGUGGAAUUGUUUUUGUGAAAUAUUUAUGCAGAUUUUCCAAUGCAAUAGUUUGUAGGGCUUGCAGAACAGAGCAAAUCAACAACACAUGAAAAAAAAAAAAAGUUUGGUGAGCGAGUAAAAUAUUUUUGAAAACACGCUCAAACAGUUGAGAUCUCUUUUAAUGGUAUACUCUAAAAAAAAAAAAAAAUACUGGGUUGUUUCAGUCCAACUUUGGGUCAAAUAUCGACUAACCCAACUUUUGGGUUAAAAAUUUUAUUUAACCCAAUGGUUAGUCCAUAUUUGACCCAAAGUUGGGCUGAAACAACCCAGUAUUUUUUAGAGUGUAACUGUACACAUGAAAUGUUGCAUUCAUGUUAAAGAUCCACUGAAGUGCCUUGAAACGAAAAUUGUGGCUUAUUUUGCCCCAAUGGAAAGCAUAUUUAUACUGUCUGAAUUGUUCCCUACCCCCUAUAUAGUGUACUACUUGCCAUUCACCACAAAGAAAAUACUAACUCAGUAAACAACUGAUUGAUUUCAGCCGCAGCUUCAGCAACUAUUUCUAGUGUAGGGGGCGGGACACAUCAGAUUCUAAAGAGCAUUUGAUUGGACAGAAAGUUUGAUGGGAAGCUGAAGUGAAGGAUGAUGUCAUUGAAAUUGUUGAUCUAUAUUGGAGUGAGAAUCUGUACGUUUUGAAUGCUUAUAUCUUCUGUAUGCAAAUUGUUGUUAUUGUUUUGGAGUUCACCAGCUUAUACAUAAUAGCAUAUUCAUACCAAAAAAAAAAAAAUAAUAAUAAAAAACACAUUCAAAAACGUUUUAUAUUUCUU
ensembl:lncRNA